GAUGAAGAACGUAGCGAAAUGCGAUAAGUAGUGUGAAUUGCAGAAUUCAGUGAAUCAUCGAAUCUUUGAACGCACAUUGCGCCCCUUGGUAUUCCAUGGGGCAUGCCUGUUCGAGCGUCAUUUGUACCUUCAAGCUUUGCUUGGUGUUGGGUGUUUGUCUCGCCUUUGCGUGUAGACUCGCCUUAAAAUAAUUGGCAGCCGGCGUAUUGAUUUCGGAGCGCAGUACAUCUCGCGCUUUGCACUCAUAACGACAGCGUCCAAAAGUACAUUCUACACUCUUGACCUCGGAUCAGGUAGGGAUACCCGCUGAACUUAAGCAUAUCAAUAAGCGGAGGA
rnacentral:misc_RNA from 1 species